rnacentral:rRNA from 1 species
GAAAGCGGCGAACGGGUGAGUAACACGUGAGUAACCUGCCCUCGGCACCGGGAUAGCCCGAGGAAACUCGGAUUAAUACCGGAUAGCCAUUCGAGCUCUCGAGCGCGAAUGAAAAGGUAGCUUCGGCCUCUGGCCGAGGAUGGGCUCGCGGCGGAUUAGCUUGUUGGCGGGGUAACGGCCCACCAAGGCGACGAUCCGUAGCUGGUCUGAGAGGACGAUCAGCCACACUGGGACUGAGACACGGCCCAGACUCCUACGGGAGGCAGCAGUGGGGAAUCUUGCGCAAUGGGCGAAAGCCUGACGCAGCGACGCCGCGUGCGGGAAGAAGGCCUUCGGGUUGUAAACCGCUUUCAGGAGGGACGAAGCCACUCGGGUGAAUAGCCCAGAGGGUGACGGUACCUCCAGAAGAAGCCCCGGCUAACUACGUGCCAGCAGCCGCGGUAAUACGUAGGGGGCAAGCGUUGUCCGGAUUUAUUGGGCGUAAAGAGCGUGUAGGCGGCCAGACAGGUCCGUUGUGAAAACUCGAGGCUCAACCUCGAGAUGUCGAUGGAAACCGUCUGGCUAGAGUCC